AUGUCAGUGUUUGACAUAUUGUCUUAGGCUUCCUACAACAGCCUCUAACAGAACUCUGCUGUACUGAACCCCUAGUAAUAGAAUUGUUUACCUUUACACCAAGAAGGAUGGAAAAGCACCAAAAUCUGCAUGUGGUGUGUGCCCAGGCCGACUUUGAGGGAUUUCUGCUGUGAGACCUAAAGUUCUUAUGAUUGGCCAGUAUGAAAAAACAUGUCAGCAGGGCCUAAGGUGUCCCAUGUGUGCCAAAUGUGCCUGUGACAAGUUGAAAGGUGCUUUCCUUAUCAAGAAGGAGAAAAUUGUUUCAAAGGUGUUGAAGGCACAAGAAAGUAAGAAAGCUAA
rnacentral:lncRNA from 1 species